CGGACGGGUGAGUAACGCGUGGGUAACCUGCCUCACACUGGGGGAUAACAGUUAGAAAUAGCUGCUAAUACCGCAUAAGCGCACGGUUCCGCAUGGAACAGUGUGAAAAACUCCGGUGGUGUGAGAUGGACCCGCGUCUGAUUAGCCAGUUGGCGGGGUGACGGCCCACCAAAGCGACGAUCAGUAGCCGACCUGAGAGGGUGACCGGCCACAUUGGGACUGAGACACGGCCCAG
rnacentral:rRNA from 1 species